rnacentral:rRNA from 1 species
AUUGAACGCUGGCGGCAGGCCAAACACAUGCAAGUCGAGCGAGCGGCGGACGGGUGAGUAAUGUAUGGGGACUGCCCGAUAGAGGGGGAUAACUACUGGAAACGGUGGCUAAUACCGCAUACUAUCGGAUAACCCAUAUGGGAUGAACUAGUAGGUGGGGUAAAGGCUCACCUAGGCGACGAUCUCUAGCUGGUCUGAGAGGAUGAUCAGCCACACGAGGACUGAGCCAGGGCCCAGACUCCUACGGAGGCAGCAGUAGGAAAUAUUGCACAAUCGGCGCAAGCCUGAUGCAGCCAGGCCGCGGGUAUGAUGAAGGCCUUAGGGUUGUAAAGUACUUUCAGCGGGGAGGAGGUACCCGCAGAAGAAGCACCGGCUAACUCCGUGCCAGCAGCCGAGGUAAUAC